rnacentral:rRNA from 1 species
AUUGAACGCUGGCGGCACGCCUUACACAUGCAAGUUGAACGGCAGCACGGGUGCUUGCACCUGGUGGCGAGUGGCGAACGGGUGAGUAAUACAUCGGAACGUACCUUAUCGUGGGGGAUAACGCAGCGAAAGUUGCGCUAAUACCGCAUACGCCCUGAGGGGGAAAGCGGGGGACCGUAAGGCCUCGCGCGAUUAGAGCGGCCGAUGUCUGAUUAGCUUGUUGGUGAGGUAAAAGCUCACCAAGGCGAUGAUCAGUAGCGGGUCUGAGAGGACGAGCAGCCACACUGGGACUGAGACACGGCCCAGACUCCUACGGGAGGCAGCAGUGGGGAAUUUUGGACAAUGGGGGCAACCCUGAUCCAGCAAUGCCGCGUGAGUGAAGAAGGCCUUCGGGUUGUAAAGCUCUUUUGUCAGGGAAGAAACAGCAGCUCUAACACAGUCUGCGAAUGACGGUACCUGAAGAAUAAGCACCGGCUAACUACGUGCCAGCAGCCGCCGUAA